ensembl:lncRNA
GUUUAAAAGAUGUCGAGAAACAUAACUUAAUAAAAGUUUUUUUUUUUCUUUUCCCACAAAGAUUAGUCCGAAAUCUAGUCAUCCAGAGCUUGAGAUGUUUCUGUUUUGUAAAUGAAAUCUGUACAACAGGAUGAUUUUUAAACAAUUGCAUGUUUAUUGCAACCAAUGAACACUGAAAUCAGCUUCAUAUGAUAUCAGUCCAUCAAGUCCUUCUUAAAUUAAUAUUAUCAAUACAUAUUCUUCUGUGCAAUUGAUCAGUGCAACAGUGACAUUUAACACGUUUUGGCAAAUACAUUUUCAAGUAUCAUGCAGCAUGUGUUUUUUCUCAUACACCAUCUGCGUUGCUCUUAUUUGAGGUUGUAAAGUUCAUAGACUUGGAUAGAAGACAUCAGAGCCUCCGUUCCCAGUUCAACCAGUUCAAACGUGAGGGAAUAGAGUCAACUGACUCCUCUCACUGAACAAUGAAGCAGCUCUGGUGAUUCCAUUGCGCUUGGGAUAGUAGUAUCCAUCUCCUGUCCUGUAUUCCUGCUGAUCCUGGCCUUUCGUGGAGCUCAUGUGGCGAGCUGAGCCGGCAGCACAGGUGUCGGGCUGCAACCGGUCCGUUCUGAACCAGUUUGUCCAGGAAAUUCCCAUCGAGGGAAGUCGAUUCUCGAAAAGAUCCAAAGCACGUCUUGCUCAACACGCCACGACGGCUCGAUUUGUUGGGAAUGCGGUCAGAGUUUCAGCCUGGCGACAGCUGUUUCCAUUAUUAGUCCUCAAAACCUCCCCCUGGAGAUGUUGCUUCUCCUCAUCCGUGUCCAUUUUUGCCUUCUUCAGAGGUAGAAAGUCAGGCUCGAUCGCUGUCUUACUGCGGCGCUUCCUGGAGUGCCGCUCAGAAGCGCAUUGGUUCUCUUUGUCGUCCUCCACAGUCUCUUUGGGUUCUUGAUGUUUCAUUGCGACCUCCUUAGGAGUUAAAGUCUGUGGAGAGUCUUUGCUUAUCUCCAUGGGCUCCUCUAUGGCCGCGUCGGGAGCGCAGGGGACGACCUGUUCCUCCUCCGCGUCUCUGAGCAGCUGCGCGGUGUGGUAGAUGUCCCGCGCGGCUCUCAUGGUCAUGGAGAGCAGGAGACUCCGGUGAAGACACAGUCCCCCGCGCUGCGUCCUUAAUGAAUACAGUUUACUAAUAGAAACAGCCAUGAUUCUCUUGGCCUCGACGUCCAUUGUGUUUACAAUGUAGCAGAAUGUUUCUUAGACGUGUUUUCUAUUUUUAAAACCUCUGCGCUUUAAGGUCUUCACAGCGGAUUGCAAAACUAAAAGUUUUCUCCUCUCAGGGCGGUGUUUUAUGUGCGCUCGGCUCUGGUGGUGACAUAAAGAGUUUCCAUUCCCCUGGGUGUAUAAACACGUCCCUCCCUAGUCAACAUACGUCAUAUUGGCACAGUACUGAAGUAUCAAGUCAACAUAUGCUCUGUGUUGCCAUGUCUAUAUAUUAUACGCCACUCUCGACUUGUAGAACAUACAAAAAAAAAAAAAAAAUCAUGUUAUUAAAUU